UACGGAGGGUGCAAGCGUUAUCCGGAUUCACUGGGUUUAAAGGGUGCGUAGGUGGGCAGGUAAGUCAUUGGUGCACUCUCCGGGCUUACCCCGGAAACUGCCGUUGAUACUAUCUGUCUUGAAUAUCGUGGAGAUGAGCGGAAUAUGUCAUGUAGCGGUGAAAUGCUUAGAUAUGACAUAGAACACCGAUUGCGAAGGCAGCUCGUUACACGGUUAUUGACACUGAGGCACGAAAGCGUGGGGAUCAAACAGG
rnacentral:rRNA from 1 species